CAGAGGAGAGGAGCUCCGCGGAACAGAAUUUCAGGAGUGACCUCUGAGAUCACGGGGAGACCCAGUUUGUCAGGGAACCCCAGGGGACUCUCCUCAGACUGAAGGACAUGCCCAAGACAGACAGCACUAGGAUCCCCAUUUUACAGCUUGCGUUUUGCAAACAGCAGCCGCAGGAAUAAGGCCAUGCAGAGUGAUAAAUGAGCUGCUCUGCCCAGCUGCAUCCAGGGCCCCGGAAGCGGCCUCUGAUGCCUGCUGUGUGCCUGUGCGGUGAAGCACUGCCGGGAACUGGAGAUCCACAUUUCCCCCUGCAAACGGAGGACUACAAACAGUGUUGGCAAGGAGCCAGAGUACAGGACCAGGAGCCAGGGCCAUCUGCAUAGAAACAGGAUCUUCAUCCCUUAGGAGUCCUUCUGCCCCCUCCUGUUUAUUCUCCAGCUGAUGUCAGACAAUCCGUUUGAUCUCACAGCCACUUGCCGGAGAGGAAGAGGAUGACAGCAAGACCUGAUCUACCAGAGUCCUGUUGUAGAGCUGUAACGGAGGGGAGUCAAGCCCACAUCCCUGCAUGGGCAGAUCACGAUAUUGCAGGCACAGGUGUUGUCUGCGUGUGCAAUUAGUUGAUAUCCAUGCCCAAAUGCUUGACAGCACCUGGAAUAACCAGGUUUGCUCUUCUCUGUGGUAGAUCAGCCAGCGCACAGAAGUUUGAAACUUGCACCUGGAUAAAGAACAAGCAGCAAGAGAAGAUGGACUGAGAAGGAAGAACGUUCCUGUUUUCAUGCAAAAAUCUCCACUAAAAAGAAAAAAGCAAGGCAAAUUUUUUAAAUGAUUAAAUGUUCCUAAGGAAUGGGCUCUGGGAGACUAGGUGUUAGACUGUCUUUCAAAGCUGCUUCCUAGCCCCGUCUCUCUCAUGAGAACCAUAAGGAUGUGCUGAGAUCCUAUGGGCACUGGAGCUAUAAAGAAUCUAUACAUAUCCUGAUUACCUAUAGCUACUCUGUGCUCAAUCAUUCUUCAGAAAACUAGGCCUCUCUAAUCUAUCUAUCCAGGCCUUUAUGUGGUGCUCAUCACAGGCCCCUGGACUCGUCCUUACGCUGUGUCCUGUCACGGUUACUGGUGGGUGCUACCUAUUGAUGGCAACUUACAUACCUUGGGCCUGAUCUUGAGCGGUCCUGAUUCUCUAAAGGAGUCUCUGCAAGGUGAUGAACAGCACCCCAUCUUUACCUGUGCCAUCCGUGGAAGUGCAGAGCACACAGCACUUUGUAGGCCUUUAUACAUGGUGGGAAUUUUACACACCCGAAGUUGUACCUCUUGGAACUACCCUCCCCCACCUGCGCAUGCACAUGCAUCUUCAGUGACAAUGUUGAAGCAUCCUGACUGUUUCCAGAACAUUUUUUAGUUGCAAAUGUGUGCUGGAUGUUUGGAUGGUUGACUAAAGCCAGUGUUAGCUGUCUCUGAAUGUAAUAACCCGUUGCAUUUCUGCAGUGCCUAUUAGUCAAGGACACCAAAAUGCUUUACAAGCAUUAAACCUCAGAAUACUCCUUCUGGUAGGUCAGGUUAUUCAAGGCUUUAUUCAGGCAUCACUGCAAUGCAGCUAGCUCUGGCUUGGAUCACAUCAGUUGUUUAACAGAGCACAGCAACACUACAUAGCAUGUGAGGACGAAUAGGGAAAGGAAAUACUGUCUCUGAUUGCAACUGCAGGGGGAUAUUAAGUAUUGGGUCAGGACACAGGGUUAUUGCUUGAUGAAAAGGGCUGUAUAAAAGCUUGGUGGUGGUGUUUUCUUAUGUAAAGGGCCCUGGGACCCAUCAUGCCCACA